UAAUAUGGCAGAUUAGUGCAAUGGAUUUAAACCCCAUAAAUAAAGAAUUUCUUUUAUUAA
rnacentral:tRNA from 1 species